AUUGAACGCUGGCGGAAUGCUUUACACAUGCAAGUCGAACGGCAGCACGGGUGCUUGCACCUGGUGGCGAGUGGCGAACGGGUGAGUAAUACAUCGGAACGUACCCAGUCGUGGGGGAUAACGUAGCGAAAGUUACGCUAAUACCGCAUACGUCCUGAGGGAGAAAGCGGGGGACCGUAAGGCCUCGCGCGAUUGGAGCGGCCGAUGGCGGAUUAGCUAGUUGGUGGGGUAAAGGCCUACCAAGGCGACGAUCCGUAGCGGGUCUGAGAGGACGGCCCGCCACACUGGAACUGAGACACGGUCCAGACUCCUACGGGAGGCAGCAGUGGAGAAUUUUGGACAAUGGGCGAAAGCCUGAUCCAGCCAUUCCGCGUGAGUGAAGAAGGCCUUCGGGCUGUAAAGCACUUUCGGCAGGGAGGAAACGGCUUGGGAUAAUACCCCGGGCUAAUGACGGUACCUGAAGAAGAAGCACCGGCUAACUACGUGCCAGCAGCCGCCGUAA
rnacentral:rRNA from 1 species